rnacentral:rRNA from 1 species
CUCCGGCCCGCGUUGUAAUUUGCAGAGGAUGCUUUUGGCGAGGUGCCUUCCGAGUUCCCUGGAACGGGACGCCAUAGAGGGUGAGAGCCCCGUAUGGAUGGACACCAGACCUGUGUAAAGCUCCUUCAACGAGUCGAGUAGUUUGGGAAUGCUGCUCUAAAUGGGAGGUAAAUCUCUUCUAAAGCUAAAUACCGGCCAGAGACCGAUAGCGCACAAGUAGAGUGAUCGAAAGAUGAAAAGCACCUUGAAAAGGGGGUUAAACAGUACGUGAAAUUGUUGAAAGGGAAGCGCUUGUGACCAGACUUGCGCCGGGCAGCUCAUCAGGGGUUCUCCCCUGUGCACUCUGCCCGGCUCAGGCCAGCAUCGGUUCUCGUGGGAGGAUAAGAACAGUGGGAACGUGGCCCCCUCUCGGGGGGGUGUUAUAGCCCACUGUACGAUACUCUCGUGGGGACCGAGGUUCGCGCUCCGCAAGGAUGCUGGCGUAAUGGUCAUCAGCGACCCGUCUUGAAACACGGACCAAGGAGUCGUCCAUUAGAGCGAGCGUUUGGGUGUAAAACCCGCACGCGUAAUGAAAGUGAACGCAGGUGAGAGCUUCGGCGCAUCAUCGACCGAUCCUGAUGUCUUCGGAUGGAUUUGAGUAAGAGUUUUAACGGACGGACCCGAAAGACAGUGAACUAUGCUUGUAUAGGGUGAAGCCAGAGGAAACUCUGGUGGAGGCUCGCAGCGGUUCUGACGUGCAAAUCGAUCGUCAAAUAUGAGCAUGGGGGCGAAAGACUAAUCGAACUGUCUAGUAGCUGGUUACCGCCGAAGUUUCCCUCAGGAUAGCAGUGUUGUUCUUCAGUUUUAUGAGGUAAAGCGAAUGAUUAGGGACUCGGGGGCGCUUAUUAGCCUUCAUCCAUUCUCAAACUUUAAAUAUGUAAGAAGCCCUUGUUACUUAAUUGAACGUGGGCAUUCGAAUGUACCAACACUAGUGGGCCAUUUUUGGUAAGCAGAACUGGCGAUGCGGGAUGAACCGAACGCGGGGUUAAGGCGCCAGAGUGUACGCUCAUCAGACACCACAAAAGGCGUUAGUACAUCUUGACAGCAGGACGGUGGCCAUGGAAGUCGGAAUCCGCUAAGGACUGUGUAACAACUCACCUGCCGAAUGUACUAGCCCUGAAAAUGGAUGGCGCUCAAGCGUACCGCCCAUACCCCGCCCUCAGGGUAGAAACGAUGCC